rnacentral:tRNA from 1 species
UCGAUAGCUCAGCAGGUAGAGCAGAGGACUGAAAAUCCUUGUGUCGCUGGUUCGAUUCCGGCUCGAGC